CGGAGGGUGCAAGCGUUAUCCGGAUUCACUGGGUUUAAAGGGUGCGUAGGUGGGUUGGUAAGUCAGUGGUGAAAUCUCCGUGCUUAACAUGGAAACUGCCAUUGAUACUACUGAUCUUGAAUUUUCUGGAGGUAAGCGGAAUAUGUCAUGUAGCGGUGAAAUGCUUAGAUAUGACAUAGAACACCAAUUGCGAAGGCAGCUUGCUACAGGGAUAUUGACACUGAGGCACGAAAGCGUGGGGAUCAAACAGGAUUAGAUACCCUGGUAGUCCACGCCCUAAACGAUGGAUACUCGACAUUUGCGAUACACAGUAAGUGUCUGAGCGGAAGCAUUAAGUAUCCCACCUGGGAAGUACGACCGCAAGGUUG
rnacentral:rRNA from 1 species